rnacentral:lncRNA from 1 species
UCCGUCGUCAGGGAGACUGCGAACACGGGGUAAACCAAGGGGUAAACAAUCUGUGCGUGGAAUGGGGAGUGGUGAAUGCGCAAGGGCGAUGAUAGGCGCUGAUAUCCCGAAAGAAGAUAACAGCUUGUUUUCUUCACCGCCACCAGUCUACCUGCUCUCUGCACACUCGGCAGAGCGCGGCAGGGCACCCCACGGAGCUGCACUAGUCACAUCCGGGCCCCACGCCGGUCGACGGCCGAUGCGCCGCUGGGAGGCCUGCGGCGCGGACGACGGAUGCGGCAGUUGGUCAAGACACGGCAGCCUACUCGAGGUGCUUCUCGCCUGGAGGACGCAGGCGAAUCGCGUUAUCCGAGCUGUGCCUCGUCAUGGUGCGAUGAGCCUUAAUAGACUAAUGCAUAUUCUUCCUUUGGCUGUAAUUCAUUUGCUGCUGCCCGCUGGGCUAAGGAGUAACUCUGGGCGCCUACUUUGGGCAGACGCUCGUCCAGUGCCGCUCUUCGUUUGCCGCACAUAUCUUUAUUUAUUCUUUGUUACAAUUCCGUCUUUGGUCAUUUUUUUUUUACCAUGGGGGCACUUGAAAGUUUUGUUUUUAAAUCUGUGGACAUUGAACCUGGAAUCGGUUUUAUGUCGGAUUUCGGUUUUGUUUUUGCACUGUGGAAAUAUCUCGUUCAAUAUUUUUAAGAUAGGGCGUGCUAAAACUUUUAGUCUCAUUACUCCUCUGUGCAUCUAAAUUCUAAAGUACUAUAAUGUGCAUCUCAAGUGUUUGGUGCUGUACUGUUAUUAUUUAUGGUUAAUCCAGUGCUGUACUGUUAUUAUUUAUGGUUAAUCCAGUUUUUAUUCGAUUGAAUCGUUGUGUGUAGUGCAUGACAUCCGCGUACCGCCUGUAGCAGUGUUAUAUAUUUUCAUUUAUGCUGGAAAAUAAUAACUUUCUUGUUCAUUG